GCUGCAGAAAUGGAGUCAAGCCACUCCUUUACACGUUGCUUUCUCUUUUGGAAAAGCUUCUGCAGAAACGGUUCCAAGCCUCUGCACAGCCUGCACACAGACUGGAACUCCAGGACACGCCUCUCCCUCAGCGUUCCUCCCCAUCCGUCAGCUCGCGCUACAGUGCUCGCGUCCAGGGGAGUUCUGACCUCAGCGACACAGAUCAGGAAAAAAAGGUGCUGGAAAAAAUCAGCCAACUUUUGGAGACAGACUCCCUUACCAAGAUCCAAGAAUGGUUUGGAAGGGCAAGUAAACAAGGUAACAAAGAUACGCACCUGCAUCCCUUUCUGAGAAGCACGCGCUCUUGUACGUUCCCAUCAAACCCUGAAAUUCUAAUCGACCUGAGCUGAGCGGCGUUGCCGAGGUGGAAGGUAUCAGGUCCAGCAAAGUGCGCUGGGCCCAGCUGUGGCUGCGCUGAGCAGUCAGGUGACAGCAGACAGAAAGCAGUCACUUACACCUCAGCGCUCUCCGGUUUGGUGCGGGGCGGAAACACGCGCUCUCCCACUGGGGCUCUGGGCGGCUGGGGGCGGGCAGAAAGCAAACAAAAUGUCUCUCUCGUGUCUUUAAGCCCUUUGAAAACGUGGUAAGGGAACUCCUGAAUUCACCCCCAAACAUCCAGAUCAGCAGCAAGUGGGAAUUUGAACAAAAUUUCUGCUACCUUCACGUUUCAGAGAAAGACUUUGUGUUCAGUCUGGUGGAUUGAGAACUGACUGAGAAAGACGUGCUGAAAUCUGAGGAAGGUGCAGCAGAGAACAUCAACAGCCCGACUGCUGAAGCCUCUCCCCCCACAUCGGAGAAGCCUAGACGGGGAAAUGACUCCGGCCACGUAAAACCUGCAGGGAGGUUGCCACAAUGAUGGAUAAGCUAAACCCCACAACCAGAAAUUUUUGGGUUCUCCUGCUAUGGAAAAGGUAACUUUGUGAUUGAAGUUGAUCACGGCCAGCCUUCGGCAAAAAUGCUCCUAAGUACAAGCCACGCCAGGCGAUUUGAUACAAGUUUGAUACAAGUACCAAGUUUUAGCAGCACUGGAAACCCCUUGGAGAGCAACCUCCUUUUACAUUGCGGUGCACAGUUUAUACCUACAAAGACCACAGGGGACUGGACCAUCUCCCUUAUGAGGACAGGCUGACAGAGAUGCACCUGUGUAGCCUGGGGAAGAGUGAGAGGGCAUCUCCUCAGUGCAUAUAAAUAUCUUAAGGGCAAGUGUCAAGAGGAUGGGGCCAGGCUCUUUUCAGUGGUGCCCAGCGUCAGGACAAGGGGCGACGGGCGCCAACUGAAACACAGGAAAUUCCAUCCGAGUGUGAGGGAAAACGUCUUCACUUGGAGGGUGUCGGAGCCCUGGCACAGGCUGCCCAGAGAGGCUGUGCAGUCUUCCUUCCCUGGAGAUACUCAAACCCCACCUGGACGCGACCCUGUGCAACCCGCUCUAGGCAAACCGGCUUUAGCAGGGGGUUGCACGACAUGGCCUGCACAGGUCCCUUCCAACCCCAGCCGUUCUGUGAGCCUGUGACAUUCUGAGAUCUGCUCCUGUAAGUUACACGCAAGCUGCAACCCCCUCUGCCAGCAAACUAUGGCAUUCGCCCUCAUCUAACAUCUCGCCCUCGCUCUCUGCAGGCUACGUCAGGCUUUCUCAGACCGUUCCAGCUACCAAAGCCCACUCUUGCACCCUCUACCCAGUCAGGGCAAGCCAAAAAUAGUGGCGCUGCCAAGGAACGCCACUGUCACCUCUUUGUGCCCCUUCUGAAGCACACAGAGGCAACACAAGCCAGUCCCAGCGUACGUGAUCAUUUUAACAAAGCCACUCAUGCCAGCUCUGACGCUGCCAGCAUUUACUAUUGCUUGGAACUCAGCUGGAGGAGAGGGUGAAGAGUAAUCUUACCUAAGAACUAGAAGGAGGAAGAGGAAACCUCCAAAGCAAGCACCUCUGCUUUUCCACAGUGGUGCCCAGUGAGGCUUCUUUGCCAAAGAGCAGAUGUGCUUCUAUACUCUCAGCUGCGUACCGAACAAAGCCAAACGAGUCUAACAUCAUCCUAAGCCUAGCCUGGUAAUAUACAGCUUGCUUUUCCAAAAUGUCUUCCAGAAAGGGAGAAAGAACAUCUUUUGUUUGCAACGCUGAGAAAGAGAGGUCCAGCACAAGCAGACACGCUCUUCCCAGGGAAGAGCUACAGCUGAGAAAGUGUGGUGGAAACAAGAGGCCGUCCUGCCCUCACGCUCUACCAGAAAUCUCACCUGUACCACGGCUGCCCCCAAACCACGGAUAUCCCUUUUCCAGCAGAGGCCUCCCCUAUUCACAGCCGCUGCAGCAUCUCCCAGCCACCUUCACAUACAGAAAUAUGUGAUCUGAGCACUUAGAUUAUAAAGACAGGCGUUCAGACUUCCUAAUAAAACAAUUUGAUGUUCAUUGUA